UACGUAGGGCCCGAGCGUUGUCCGGAUUCAUUGGGCGUAAAGAGCUCGUAGGCGGCCACUCAAGUCGAAUGUGAAACCUCGAGGCUUAACCUCGAGCCUGCAUUCGAUACUGGGCGGCUAGAGUCUGGUAGGGGGAUCUGGAAUUCCUGGUGUAGCGGUGGAAUGCGCAGAUAUCAGGAGGAACACCGGUGGCGAAGGCGGGAUCCUGGGCCAGUACUGACGCUUAGGAGCGAAAGCGUGGGGAGCAAACAGG
rnacentral:rRNA from 1 species